rnacentral:rRNA from 1 species
AGGACAAACGCUGGCGGCGUGCGUAACACAUGCAAGUCGAACGGGGGAUGGGGUUUCGGCCCCAUCCCGAGUGGCGGACGGGUGCGUAACACGUGGAUGACCUGCCCUUGAGUGGGGGAUACCCGCCAGAAAUGGCGGCUAAGACCGCAUGUGGUCACCGGGGGAGCCCGGUGAAGAAAGCCCGCAAGGGCGUUGGAGGAGGGGCCCGCGGCCGAUUAGCUUGUUGGCGAGGUAAUGGCUCACCAAGGCAAUGAUCGGUAGCCGGUCUGAGAGGAUGGCCGGCCACACUGGAACUGAGACACGGUCCAGACUCCUACGGGAGGCAGCAGUGGGGAAUCUUGCGCAAUGGGCGAAAGCCUGACGCAGCGACGCCGCGUGGGGGAUGAAGCUUCUCGGAGUGUAAACCCUUUCGACCCGGACGAAACGCCGUAAGGCUUGACGGUACGGUAUAAGAAGCCCCGGCUAACUACGUCGCCAGCAGCCGC